GACGGAGGGUGCAAGCGUUGUUCGGAUUGACUGGGCGUAAAGGGCGUGUAGGCGGUUGGUCAAGUCCGAUGUGAAAGCCCGGGGCUCAGCUUCGGAAGUGCAUCGGAAACUAGCCAGCUGGAGCGCGAUAGAGGAGGGCGGAAUUCCUGGUGUAGCGGUGAAAUGCGUAGAUAUCAGGAGGAACACCGAUUGCGAAGGCAGCUCGCUGGAACGUUACUGACGCUGAGACGCGAAAGCGUGGGGAGCAAACAGG
rnacentral:rRNA from 1 species